UUCAGCUGCUGUGCACCUGCUAGCCCUGAUGUAAAAAAUACUGUGCAAAUUCUUCUGACCUGAAGAACUCCUUCCAAGAGGAACAGCCUACCCAUAUGGAGAUGCAAGCUCUACAUAUUCAAUGUGAUUUGGAGCUGUCCUUCUCUGAGGCCCAUCUCAUAUGACUCACACAGAUCCCUUGCAUCCAGCGGCUCCAGCACUUUACAGCUCUACAAUAAAUCAUCCAGUCUUUGUGCCUUUGUCCUCCAGUCCUGUGCACUCCAUGGAUCUGAUAUUUAUAGCUGUCUGGCAAUGCACAUACACGCACCAUCUUAUGUAUUUCCACAAUUUCACUACUUUAAAACAGGAGCGUGAGCCCUCUCAUUUUGUUCUCUCAUAUCUUUGGCAGAAAUGGGGCUUCAUCCAAAGGCAUUUUGAAAUAGACUAUCUAUAAUUGGGAUUUCUACAGAGCUGGAAAAUGUGCUGGUGAUAGU